rfam:Mucilaginibacter lappiensis strain ATCC BAA-1855 genome assembly, contig: Ga0104715_121
UUUCCUAUGGUGCAAUAGCAGCACAUCAGAUUCUGGAUCUGAAAGUCGUGGUUCGCCCCCACGUAGGAAAA